rnacentral:rRNA from 1 species
UGGGGAAUAUUGGACAAUGGGCGAAAGCCUGAUCCAGCCAUGCCGCGUGAGUGACGAAGGCCUUAGGGUUGUAAAACUCUUUUGGCGGGGAAGAUAAUGACGGUACCCGCAGAAUAAGCUCCGGCUAACUUCGUGCCAGCAGCCGCGGUAAUACGAAGGGAGCUAGCGUUGUUCGGAAUCACUGGGCGUAAAGCGCACGUAGGUGGGCAGUUAAGUCAGGGGUGAAAGCCCGAGGCUCAACCUCGGAAUUGCCUCUGAUACUGGCUGUCUAGAGUUCGAGAGAGGUGAGUGGAAUUCCUAGUGUAGAGGUGAAAUUCGUAGAUAUUAGGAAGAACACCGGUGGCGAAGGCGGCUCACUGGCUCGAUACUGACACUGAGGUGCGAAAGCGUGGGGAGCAAACAGGAUUAGAUACCCUUGUAGUCCCUGAGCGGGCUGGCAAGGCGCAU